GACGUAGGGUGCGAGCGUUGUCCGGAUUUAUUGGGCGUAAAGAGCUCGUAGGCGGCUUGUUACGUCGGCUGUGAAAUCCCGAGGCUCAACCUCGGGUCUGCAGUCGAUACGAGCAAACUAGAGUGUUGCAGGGGAGACUGGAAUUCCUGGUGUAGCGGUGAAAUGCGCAGAUAUCAGGAGGAACACCGGUGGCGAAGGCGGGUCUCUGGGUAGUAACUGACGCUGAGGAACGAAAGCGUGGGUAGCGAACAGG
rnacentral:rRNA from 1 species